rnacentral:rRNA from 1 species
UGGGGAAUAUUGGACAAUGGGCGAAAGCCUGAUCCAGCCAUGCCGCGUGUGUGAAGAAGGUCUUCGGAUUGUAAAGCACUUUAAGUUGGGAGGAAGGGCAGUUACCUAAUACGUAUCUGUUUUGACGUUACCGACAGAAUAAGCACCGGCUAACUCUGUGCCAGCAGCCGCGGUAAUACAGAGGGUGCAAGCGUUAAUCGGAAUUACUGGGCGUAAAGCGCGCGUAGGUGGUUUGUUAAGUUGGAUGUGAAAUCCCCGGGCUCAACCUGGGAACUGCAUUCAAAACUGACAAGCUAGAGUAUGGUAGAGGGUUGUGGAAUUUCCUGUGUAGCGGUGAAAUGCGUAGAUAUAGGAAGGAACACCAGUGGCGAAGGCGACCACCUGGACUGAUACUGACACUGAGGUGCGAAAGCGUGGGGAGCAAACAGGAUUAGAUACCCAUGUAGUCCCUGAGCGGGCUGGCAAGGCGCAU